GAACGAACGCUGGCGGCAGGCCUCAUACAUGCAAGUCGAGCGAUUAAGACUCCUUCGGGAGUGUAUAAAGCGGCGAACGGGUGAGUAACAGGUGGAUGAUCUACCUUCCGGUGGGGGAUAACGGCUGGAAACGGCCGCUAAUACCGCAUUCGGUUAAUACGCUGCGGCGUAUUAAAGAAAGGCGCUUCAAAGCGCCGCCGGGAGAUGAGUCCGCCCCCCAUUAGCUAGUUGGUGAGAUAACAGCUCACCAAGGCAACGAUGGGUAGCCGAACUGAGAGGUUGAUCGGCCACACUGGAACUGAGACACGGUCCAGACUCCUACGGGAGGCAGCAGUGGGGAAUAUUGCACAAUGGAGGAAACUCUGAUGCAGCGACGCCGCGUGAGUGAAGAAGUAUUUCGGUAUGUAAAGCUCUAUCAGCAGGGAAGAAAGAAAUGACGGUACCUGACUAAGAAGCCCCGGCUAACUACGUGCCAGCAGCCGCGGUAAUACGUAGGGGGCAAGCGUUAUCCGGAUUUACUGGGUGUAAAGGGAGCGUAGACGGCGAUGCAAGUCAGAUGUGAAAACCCAUGGCUCAACCAUGGGAUUGCAUUUGAAACUGUGUUGCUAGAGUGCAGGAGAGGUAAGCGGAAUUCCUGGUGUAGCGGUGAAAUGCGUAGAUAUCAGGAGGAACACCGGUGGCGAAGGCGGCUUACUAGACUGUAACUGACGUUGAGGCUCGAAGGCGUGGGUAGCAAACAGGAUUAGAUACCCUGGUAGUCCACGCAGUAAACGAUGAUUACCAGGUGUCGGGAGACAUAGUCUCUCGGUGCCGCAGCAAACGCAGUGAGUAAUCCACCUGGGGAGUACGUUCGCAAGAAUGAAACUCAAAGGAAUUGACGGGGACCCGCACAAGCGGUGGAGCAUGUGGUUUAAUUCGAAGCAACGCGAAGAACCUUACCAAAUCUUGACAUCCUUCUGAAUAGCUGGUAAAGCAGCUAGGCCUUCGGGACAGAAGAGACAGGUGGUGCAUGGUUGUCGUCAGCUCGUGUCGUGAGAUGUUGGGUUAAGUCCCGCAACGAGCGCAACCCUUAUCUUCAGUAGCCAGCAAGUUAAGUUGGGCACUCUGGAGAGACUGCCGGGGAUAACCCGGAGGAAGGCGGGGAUGACGUCAAAUCAUCAUGCCCCUUAUGAUUUGGGCCACACACGUGCUACAAUGGCGUAAACAGAGGGAAGCGAAGGCGCGAGCCGGAGCAAAUCCCAGAAAUAACGUCCCAGUUCGGACUGUAGGCUGCAACCCGCCUACACGAAGCUGGAAUCGCUAGUAAUCGCAGAUCAGAAUGCUGCGGUGAAUACGUUCCCGGGCCU
rnacentral:rRNA from 1 species